rnacentral:lncRNA from 1 species
CUGCGGAAUUCCCCAGGAGGAGUGGCAGCAGGUGGAGUCUGCACAGAGGACCCUGUACAGAGACGUGGUGAUGCUGGAGAACUACAGUUGCCUUGUCUGAUCCUAUCACCAGGAGUUUUCCCUGCUGCUGUCUGCCUUAGCAAAUCCUGUCUCACCGGAACCCACAAGAAGUCCUCCUCUUCAUGGAAACUGAUGAUCCUUCCUCUUGCCCAUGAACCCACCUGGAGGAGUCAAGCCCAGCAUGGAUGCCAGAGUGCCAAAGGUGAAAAGCAGGAAAGCCAAAAUACUCAUCAAGACCAAAGGGGGAGCACAGAGCCAGAAGCUGGGAGGAGAAAGGGAGUCAAGAAAGUCAAUGCCAGUAGCCCAGCCGCCCCUCCCUUGCUCUGGGCUCUCAGAUGCUCUCAUCCCACUGAGGUGCCAGCUGACAAUCUACAGGCUGCCACGCCCAGGAGCAGUAUCUGGUGGUGGAACUCCAGGUUCCAAGGAGGCUGUGCAGGCAGGAUGUGUUUCUUCAGAAGCAAGUCCCUUCUUAAAUCAUCCCAGGUCCAACUUUCCCUCUCAACUUGCCCUUCUCUAUCUAUGUUUUCCUCGAAUUAAAAAAAAAAAAACUGUAUUUUUCCUUAUUGUUUCAUUAUGUUAUUAUCUAUAUAUCUCAUUAUAUUCAUAUAAUAGUGUUAGAAGCUUCAAAGCCCUGUGAUCCAGGUUAUGGUAUACACGAACAGCAGCCUGAAGGUACCCUGUCUCCCCCAGGUUCCAGGAGGAAGCUCUUCUCCUGCAGAGUACAGAGCCCCCUGCCUCCCACAGGGCUCCUCCCUUCAAGUGGCCUCCAGCAAUGGAUUCCCUUAAAGGAACAGAUGUCCUAAGGCAAAGACUCUUACACUUUAUGCACCUCAGACUCCUCUGGAGGGCUCCUUAAAACACAGAUUGCUGGGCCCCACCCUCAGGCUCUUUGAUUCAGCUGCUGUGGAGCCUGAGAAUUUGCUUUCCUAGCAGCUCCAGGUGCUGCCGCUGCUGCUCCAGGGCCCACACUUGGGGCAUCCCUGCUCUGAGGGGAGCUGCCAUAGUCCCCAGGCUGGAGGGCCUCACCUGCACUGAGCUUCCCACUGUGGCCAGGGGCGGGCGUUGAGCCAGCUGUGCCUGUUGUCUCCAGCCACACAGGCAUCCCAAGGAGACCAAGCAAUACUCUGAGUGUUGCCCAACUUGUGCACGUUCUACUUCACCUUUGUGCCUCCCUCUGUUGGAGGGGAAGGGAGGAAAAGGUGCCAGGCUGAGAACUUUCAAUGGUCUUUUUCAACAUCUUGCUGCUUGACUUAAGUUACUGGGAUUGGAUGCUUAACUAGCUGUCCCCAAACUGUCCUUCCUCUUGUUUAUCCAUCAUUAGUACCAUGGUCUGCAGCAAUAAAAGUGUAGGAUCUCAUAUUAUAUACA